UUGAACGCUAGGUCGCCUCCUCGGCCUGGUAUUGAUUGUAUCUGGGCGUGUAUCUGGGCAUGUGCUGUGGUUGCUGUGGUUGCUCAGGUAUUCGCUAAAAAAGAGCGAAUACCUGAGCAAGGUGGAGCGAAUAGAACACUAAUAGUGUAUGUAAGCAUACUUACUCCGUAAAAUCACCGUUAAAUCACAAAGAACUCCGUGUCUUAGGUCUAUUCGUCAUAGAUAUAGGCUUAGCUAGCUGGAGUGUGAGGAGCUGUCUUGUGCGAAGAAAGAAGGAGCAUCACUCUUGUGAAAGAACAGAUCUAGGUUCUCAAGUUUCUGCUAUCAGUUGGCUACCUUUGAUUGACUACACAAUUUAAUACAAGCGCUUGAUUAGACCACUGAUUUCCAGAUACACUUGGUAGAGUCUAUCCUCAGACUCUGGCCAUCGAUCUCUUGUAUACUAUGCUCAGGGGUGUCCACAAGUGGCUGGGCCUGGGAUGUAUUGUCAAGCCUAUAGCCCAAUCCUUGGUAUCUGGAUCAAGAUAUGACAUUACGGCACUGGCACUGGUGUUGUGUUAGCCUCCUUCACCGGCCUUCAAGGAAGUGCGGCCUGGGAUCGUGGCUAGUUUGUGUGGACCAUCACUGAGCAAAAUGGAACCUUCCCCUCCAACCCCCGUCGUACUCCUCCUAGCUGAUGGGUGUGAACUCAUUGAAAGAGGAUGCCCCAGUGCCACUCGUGUCCUUCCCAAGGGUCCGAUCUUAUAGAACUACCUGCGCUAAAACUACUGACGUGGAAUGGCUCUUUCAACACUUGUGGUUGCUAUCCUGACCAGUGACGUCAGGAUAGCAACCUGAUCACUAGAGCAAUAAGAAUAGUGAACAUAAUGACAUUGAAGAGUAUGGAAAUCGAGAAUGGUAUGCCGAUAAAAAUAACCUCUGAGACAAGAUAAUCUAUCCAGCAGGUGUUAAGAUCAUGCCCAUAUCCUACCCAUUUGCUUGUAUUGUCAACAAUUAGAGCUGCUGUUACGAUCGAUAAUGGCACUCCCCAGCCAAACACUAAAUCUAGUAGUAUAGGAAUCCAUCUGUAUCGACAGUUCAGGGACUGUUUCUUCAGUUUACUAGCAUUAUAGAAGGAACAAACAGUAUCUAACAUUGUGGCUGACAUGAGCAUGAAUUGUGACAACAGGAAAAAAUGUAGCAACACUGCUCUUUUGUGUUCUCUAAAGAUCUCAAUAUUACCAC